CAAAAUAAUUAGUUUUUAUCAAAUAUUGUUUUUAUUAAAAAUUAUUAAAUAAACAGCUUAUUAAAUUUUAACUUCAAUUCCAAACGGGCUAUUAGUUUCCUUAUUUAAGUUAACCUCGGGAAGUAUGUUUACCCUAUUUUAAAUAGGGAUGUAAAACAUUAUCAAAAUCUUAUUGAGUCGUUUUUAUUAGAACGAGAUCAAAUUAUGCUUAGAUUAGAAUGUAACCUAAUCCUGUUGAGUUAGUCUGGUCCUAAAACAAUAUCUAAUGUUCUUUUAUCAGAUCAAUCUGCUUCUGCUACCCUACUGCAUUACUAAAAUAUGUGUAAAGAUUUAUUAUGACAUGUCAAAUGAAAGAGUCGUAUUUGUUCGAAAAAUAGUGUAAUGAGAUGCUAUUUGAAAGCAUAACUUUUAGUGGGACUCACUUAUUGUAAGUGAAAAAUUAGGAUGAUUGGAAAUCUCCUUUGUGAAUACUUCAAAAUAAGUAUUUGUUUAUUCAAAAUGAUGCUCUGGUGAAAGAGAAAUUGAGGCUCAAAGUACAUCCAUUGACUGCAUUGAAUAAAAGUAGGAAUUACAGAGAUUAUAAUGGUUAGUUAAAUUUAGAAUUAAUUUAAUGUUGUAUGUAUUUUUACAGCAUUAGUAGGGAGAAUGUUCUAAACGUUUAGGUUUAAGUAUUUUAAUCUCAACCAUUCAUUUAAUAUAAUUUAAGAUAAUGAAUAAUGAAUUAGUUAAUUAAUAUAAAAGUACUAGUAGUCUUUUGAUUGGGAGUAAAUAGAUUUUUUUAAUUUUAAAUUAAUCAAAAGAGAAAGAAAAAGACAAUAAUGAGAAAUAAGCCGUUGGUGAGGAAGUUGGCUACUUUGGAUAAGUACGUUGUUUUAUCAGGAUCCACGGUUGCUGCUGUAAUCUCCCUACAAGAAAUAUGUAUCAUGACAAUUUUUUUUUCGUUCGUUUUCGGAAACGCAACCUUAUUUUGAUAGAUGCUGAGUGAUUUUAGUGGUAAAAAAGUGUGAUAAUUUGUUUAUGCUUGUUCAGGCGGAAUGACGUUGCUUCAAAUAAGGAUGUUGCUGAGAUAUUGUACUUUAUAUCU
rnacentral:lncRNA from 1 species